CUCUCCUUUGAUGUGUCACUACCUGCCACCUGCCUGAGGCCGAACCGGUUCUCCAAGAUUUUCUGGAGUUAACACCAAACUGAAUUUGGCCAAGAUUUUCUGGAGUUAACACCAAACUGUGAAUUUGGCGAGUUUCUGCUAAAUGGCUGUUCUGACAACUUCACAAGAAACUUGCUCCAAGAUGCCUCCCAGGUUCUAACCCAAACAUGAGAACCACAGGCCGGCCCCAACACCCAAAGAGCAAAACAAAGAUAGAAGCCAACUGAUGUUGUGGGACAUGUCACCAGAAAUCCUAUGGUUUUCUUUAGAGGAAAAGACUAUGCCCAUCAGAGGGCCUCAUGAUGAUGAUGACUGGCUGUGGACCUCGCUGCUUGCUUUGGAAUUCUAUUUGUAGCUGAAACAUCUGGACAGGAAAUAAGAAAGUUCAAUCGAUUUUCUAGUGUAAAUCUCAAGGGACUCUCCUGGCUAAAGCACAGCUCCUUACAGCAGGAAAAUAAGUCACUAUUUCUGUCUGCUGCACUAGGUCUGCACAGACCGUGGGCUAUGGAAUAUGGAAGAAUUAGAUGAACAUGAAGGCAGAAGAGCUGAACACAGUACUGAAGUUCACACUGGGCAUAUAAAGUGUCUCUGUAGGAUCAACACAGACAAAAGGAAUGCUAUUUCAAGUAUCUGUUAAACCAACGCAUCUUAUCUAUGGAGAUAAUUUGUAAAGAAUAUACACAAUGAGUUUUAGAGGUGAACUCAUGGAGUAAUGAGGAAAUAGCAAUGACAUCUUAUGAAUGUAUAGUUCCUCGAACAGGCCAACUGUAGUGAAAUGUGAUUAUCAGAGGCUGGGUGGUUGAAGAUUAAAAACCAUAAAAAUGCACAUAUAAAAUGAAAUAAAAUUUAACUCAAUGAUUGCUUGAACACUGUUUUUCCAUAACUGUAUGGUUUACAUGCAAAACAAAUAUUACUCUGUACCUCAAAUGUUUUAUUCAUAGAAAAUAGUUUCUUUUGCAACUCAGCCACAAAUUUCCCUCCCCCAGAUAUAUUUUGUCUUAGUAUAUGGUCAGUGUUCGCAGGGUGUUGUGGGUAUUCAG